rnacentral:rRNA from 1 species
AGUGGCAGACGGGUGAGUAAUGUAUAGGAAUCUACCUAGUAGUACGAAAUAAUUGUUGGAAACGGCAACUAAUACCGUAUACGCCCUACGGGGGAAAAAUUUAUUGCUAUUAGAUGAGCCUAUAUUAGAUUAGUUAGUUGGUGAGGUAAAGGCUUACCAAGACAAUGAUCUAUAGCUGAUCUGAGAGGAUGAUCAGCCACACUGGAACUGAGAUACGGUCCAGACUCCUACGGGAGGCAGCAGUGGGGAAUAUUGGACAAUGGGCGAAAGCCUGAUCCAGCCAUGCCGCAUGAGUGAAGAAGGCCUUCGGGUUGUAAAGCUCCUUUAGUGAGGAAGAUAAUGACGGUACUCACAGAAGAAGUCCUGGCUAACUCCGUGCCAGCAGCCGCGGUAAUACGGAGAGGGCUAGCGUUAUUCGGAAUCAUUGGGCGUAAAGGGCGCGUAGGCGGGUUAGUAAGUUAAAAGUGAAAUCCCAAGGCUCAACCUUGGAACUGCUUUUAAAACUGCUAGUCUAGAGAUUGAAAGAGGAUAGAGGAAUUCCUAGUGUAGAGAUGAAAUUCGUAAAUAUUAGGAGGAACACCAGUGGCGAAGGCGUCUAUCUGGUUCAAAUCUGACGCUGAGGCGCGAANGCGUGGGGAGCAAACAGGAUUAGAUACCCUGGUAGUCCACGCUGUAAACGAUGAAUGUUAAAUAUGGGAAGUUUACUUUCUGUAUUAUAGCUAACGCGUUAAACAUUCCGCCUGGGGACUACNGUCGCAAGAUUAAAACUCAAAGGAAUUGACGGGGNCCCGCACAAGCGGUGGAGCAUG